CAGUAGCCACGGGAAUACGAAGGGGGCUAGCGUUGUUCGGAAUUACUGGGCGUAAAGCGCACGUAGGCGGAUAUUUAAGUCAGGGGUGAAAUCCCGCAGCUCAACUGCGGAACUGCCUUUGAUACUGGGUAUCUUGAGUAUGGAAGAGGUUAGUGGAAUUGCGAGUGUAGAGGUGAAAUUCGUAGAUAUUCGCAGGAACACCAGUGGCGAAGGCGGCUAACUGGUCCAUAACUGACGCUGAGGUGCGAAAGCGUGGGGAGCAAACAGGAUUAGAUACCCGAGUAGUCCCUGUCUCUUAUAU
rnacentral:rRNA from 1 species